UUCGGUGGCCAUAGCGAGGAGGCCCCACCCGUUCCCAUUCCGAACACGGAAGUUAAGCUCCUCAGCGCCGAUGGUACUGCAUGGGCAACUGUGUGGGAGAGUAGGUCGCCGCCGAUC
rnacentral:rRNA from 1 species